rnacentral:rRNA from 1 species
UACGUAGGGGGCCAGCGUUGCUCGGAAUUACUGGGCGUAAAGGGUUCGUAGGCGGUGCGGCAAGUUGGGAGUGAAAUCUCUGGGCUUAACCCAGAGGCUGCUUUCAAAACUGCCGUGCUCGAGUGCGAGAGAGGUCAGUGGAAUUGCAGGUGUAGCGGUGAAAUGCGUAGAUAUCUGCAGGAACACCCGUGGCGAAGGCGGCUGACUGGAUCGCAACUGACGCUGAGGAACGAAAGCUAGGGGAGCAAACAGGAUUAGAUACCCUGGUAGUCCUAGCCCUAAACCAUCAGGACUUGGGGUGGCCCGCGUAGGCGGGUCGUCCCGUAGCUAACGCGUUAAGUCCUGCGCCUGGGGAGUACGGUCGCAAGACUGAAACUCAAAGGAAUUGACGGGGGCCCGCACAAGCGGUGGAACAUGUGGUUCAAUUCGACGCAACGCGAAGAACCUUACCUGGGCUUGAACCGCUACUGACCAACGGUAGAAAUAUCGUCUUCCCGCAAGGGACAGUAGUAGAGGUGCUGCAUGGCUGUCGUCAGCUCGUGCCGUGAGGUGCUGGGUUAAGUCCCGCAACGAGCGCAACCCUUAUUCGUAGUUGCCACCCGCAAGGGGGAACUCUACGAGGACUGCUCCGGAUAACGGAGAGGAAGGUGGGGAUGACGUCAAGUCAGCACGGCCUUUAUGUCCAGGGCUACACACGUGUUACAAUGCACGGCACAGACUGUUGCGAGCCCGCGAGGGGGAGCUAAUCGGAAAAAACCGUGCUCAGUUCGGAUUGCAGUCUGCAACUCGACUGCAUGAAGCUGGAAUCGCUAGUAAUGGCGUAUCAGAUCGACGCCGUGAAUACG